rnacentral:rRNA from 1 species
GAUGAACGCUGGCGGCGUGCCUAAUACAUGCAAGUCGAGCGAAUGGAUUAAGAGCUUGCUCUUAUGAAGUUAGCGGCGGACGGGUGAGUAACACGUGAGUAACCUGCCCAUAAGACUGGGAUAACUCCGGGAAACCGGGGCUAAUACCGGAUAACACUUUGAACCGCAUGGUUCGAAAUUGAAAGGCGGCUUCGGCUGUCACUUAUGGAUGGACCCGCGUCGCAUUAGCUAGUUGGUGAGGUAACGGCUCACCAAGGCAACGAUGCGUAGCCGACCUGAGAGGGUGAUCGGCCACACUGGGACUGAGACACGGCCCAGACUCCUACGGGAGGCAGCAGUAGGGAAUCUUCCGCAAUGGACGAAAGUCUGACGGAGCAACGCCGCAUGAGUGAUGAAGGCUUUCGGGUCGUAAAACUCUGUUGUUAGGGAAGAACAAGUGCUAGCUGAAUAAGCUGGCACCUUGACGGUACCUAACCAGAAAGCCACGGCUAACUACGUGCCAGCCGCCGCCGUAA